ensembl:lncRNA
CAACAUCAAGCAUGAACAUGUGAAAACUGUGGUCAGCAAAGAAUACACACAAAGGGUCAGAAAAAUUCUCAAAAGCAAGCUCAAUGGAGGCAACACCAUCAAGGCCAUAAACACCUAGGCCAUACCUGUCAUAAGAUAUACUGCUGGCAUUAUAAAUUGGACACAGGUGGAACUGGACAAUUUGGACAGAAAAACAAGAAAACUCAUGACCAUUCAUCAUUCACUGCACCCUCGCAGUGAUGUUGACCGGCUAUAUCUGCCUAGAAGAUCACGGGGCAGAGGACUCUUACAAGUAAAGCAAGCAGUCAAAGAAGAAGAACAUGCCCCGGCAGAAUAUGUCAAGCAAAGUGAAGAACCUGCUUUGAUUGAAGUAAAAAAUCAGAAACUCCUCAAAACACAGCAGACAAAAAACCAGUACAAGAAAACCGCACUACAAACUAGAGCUGACAGCUGGCACAACAAAACACUGCAUGGAAAGUUCCUUGACAAAAUUGAAGGAAAAGCUGAUAAGGAGAAGACCUGGCUCUGGCUCACAAAUGGGACCCUGAAGAAGGAGACAGGUCUUCUCCUUAUCAGCUUUUCCUUCAGUUUUGUCAAGGAACUUUCCAUGCAAUGUUUUGUUGUGCCAGCUGUCAGCUCUAGUUUGUAGUGUGGUUUUCUUGUACUGGUUUUUUGUCUGCUGUGCUUUGAGGAGUUUCUGAUUUUUGACUUCAAUCAAAGCAGGUUCUUCACUUUGCUUUACAUAUUAUUAUUAUUAUUAUUAUUAUUAUUAUUAUUAUUAUUAUUAUUAUUGACAAGGCAAUAAUAGGCCGAAAGGAACUGACCAAACUGAAUCCAUGCACAAGCCUAAUUAUUAUUAAUACCCCACUUUAUCUCUCCUGAAGGGAACAAAAACAGCUUGACAUACAAUUUAAAAUAUACAAUUUAAAAUAUGCAGACAUUAAAACAGAAUUUAACACAAACAGCAUUAAAAUUCACAGUUAAAAAUCCAUCAAAACAUAUUCAAAGUUCUCUUUAGUGCUUUAACGCCUACACAUUGUCCUUGGGAAAUCUUGCAACAGAGAAAUUUUACAGUAUUUGCAUUCGGAAGCAUUACUGCAGAGUUUGGAUCAUAAGAGGAGCAGAUGGAAAAAAGCCACCAAUUGUUCAGGAGAACAAACCAUCUCUCAUGUUAUACCUCCUCUGAGUAAAAGUGUUGAAUGAAUUUGCUCACUCUGUGUAACAUCUGCGAAAAAUGACCAACAAUGCAUCUAAAACAGCUUUUACAGAGCUUAUGGGGUACAAUCCAGGGUCAGGAAAAACAACUUGCCUAUGAACUUCUAAUGCAGAGAAGUAACAUGAAUUGGGCAGAGGAUGGAAGUUUAUUGCAGAUUAUUUUUAAUAACUCACCAAAUCCACUUUAGAUACUGGAGGGAUGUUAUAUCUCUCUUUCACACCACAGGGAUCAAAUGGCACAUCUUCAAGGAAAGGCUAAAUCAUCUCAUAGGACAGAGAGGCAAAAACAUGUGGUACUCCAGGAAGGAUUGUACUGACCCAUAGGAAAGCCCAAAUAUGAGGGCUAUCCAGAAAUUACAUUACGUUUUGGAAUUAAAAAUGAACAAAGUAUAGGAGAAAACAUUUACCAUAUGCAGUUGAAAGCCACACCCAAAUACCACUUCUCAACAUAGUCGCCACUCAAAUCUAGGCACUUAUCAUAGUGAUGAAUGAGCUUGGAAACUCCUUCCCCACAAAAUUGUACCGUUUGGAAUUAAAAAUGAACAAAGUAUAGGAGAAAACAUUUACCAUAUGCAGUUGAAAGCCACACCCAAAUACCACUUCUCAACAUAGUCGCCAUUCAAAUCUAGGCACUUACCAUAGCGAUGAAUGAGCUUCGCAACUCCUUCCCCACAAAAUUGUACCGUUUGGAAUUAAAAAUGAACAAAGUAUAGGAGAAAACAUUUACCAUAUGCAGUUGAAAGCCACACCCAAAUACCACUUCUCAACAUAGUCACCAUUCAAAUCUAGGCACUUACCAUAGCGAUGAAUGAGCUUGGCAACUCCUUCCCCACAAAAUUGUACCGUUUGGAAUUAAAAAUGAACAAAGUAUAGGAGAAAACAUUUACCAUAUGCAGUUGAAAGCCACACCCAAAUACCACUUCUCAACAUAGUCGCCACUCAAAUCUAGGCACUUACCAUAGCGAUGAAUGAGCUUGGAAACUCCUUCCCCACAAAAUUGUACCGUUUGGAAUUAAAAAUGAACAAAGUAUAGGAGAAAACAUUUACCAUAUGCAGUUGAAGCCACACCCAAAUACCACUUCUCAACAUAGUCGCCACUCAAAUCUAGGCACUUAUCAUAGUGAUGAAUGAGCUUGGAAACUCCUUCCCCACAAAAUUGUACCGUUUGGAAUUAAAAAUGAACAAAGUAUAGGAGAAAACAUUUACCAUAUGCAGUUGAAAGCCACACCCAAAUACCACUUCUCAACAUAGUCGCCAUUCAAAUCUAGGCACUUAUCAUAGAGAUGAAUGAGCUUGGCAACUCCUUCCCCACUAAAUUCUGCCGCCUCCGUCUCCUGGUUAUAUUGUAUCAUUUAAAAUAGAAAUUAAAGAAGGUAACUCUUGUAGUUUUUAAAAAGGAAAUGUUGUUCAUAAAGUAACAAAAAAUUUGUUAUAUCAUUAUAGUUACAAUAGAGAACCCCGGUGGCGAAGUGUGUUAAAGCAGUGAGCUGCUGAACUUGCAGACCGAAAGGUCCCAGGUUCAAACCCCGGGAGCGGAGUGAGCGCCCGCUGUUAGCUCCAGCUUCUGCCAACCUAGCAGUUCGAAAACAUGCCAAUGUGAGUAGAUCAAUAGGUACCGCUCUGGUGGGAAGGUAACGGCGCUCCAUGCAGUCAUGCCGGCCACAUGACCUUGGAGGUGUCUAUGGACAACGCCGGCUCUUCGGCUUAGAAAUGGAGACGAGCACCAACCCCCAGAGUCAGACAUGACUCAACGUCAGGGGAAACCUUUACCUUUUUACUUUACCUAUUAUUAUAGUUACAGUAGAGACCCCUAAUAAUAUUUUAGAAACAUGUUAGAAACGAUUCACUGCCACCCCCUAAUUUAGAAAUGAGUACUGAAACAUUCUUUUUCAUUGAUCGCAGAGGCCUAACAAACAAUGGCAGGUUUUGUGAUUCAAUCGGUACUUUAUUCCUUGUUCAAUUAUAGGUAGAAGUGGCCAAUGAUUUGGAAAAACUGCCAGGGAUCUCUCUCCAGAUGGACCACAACAGCUGCUCCAGACAUAUUGUAUUGCAAUGGAAAGCUGUCACUUAGCAACCCAAGCCAUGUGUGGAGGCCCUGAACAUAACUCUUCAUCCCCUUUUUUUGCUUGGACUUUGUAUGCUUAUUUAUUUAUAGCUCAGUGGCUUGAGAGCCAUAAUAUUAAAGUAGAGUUUUUUGGAGCAGAGUCAUACUUGCAUUACUGUAUGUGAUCCAUUCACUUGGAUAAAAAGAAACUGGAGCGACUUGUCUGACGUAUUUGCCACUGGAUGGCAGGAACAGCAUUCUUGUACAUCACACGCAGUCAGAAGGUUACUCUUUCAGAACGGCAUCAUACCUCAUUUCUAAUGGAUGCUGCUAAAUGAAUUUUCCCAAUCUCUCCUCCUCCUCCACCCCAGAAAAUUGUUAAGUAAGGUAAAGGUUUCCCCUGACAUUAAGUCCAGUCAUGACCGACUCUGGGGGUUGGUGCUCAUCUCCAUUUCUAAGCCGAAGAGCUGGCGUUGUCCAUAGACACCUACAAGGUCAUGUGGCCACUGGCAUGACUGCAUGGAGUGCCGUUACCUUCCCGCCGGAGCAGUACCUAUUGAUCUACUCACAUUGGCAUGUUUUCGAACUGCUAGGUUGGCAGGAGCUGGGGCUAACAGCGGGCGCUCAUUCCGCUCCCGGGAUUUGAACCUGGGACCUUUUCGUUCACAAGUUCAGCAGCUCAGUGCUUUAACACACUGUGCCACCAGGGGCCCCUAAGAAAAUUGUUAUCUUUUAUUAAUACAGAACUUAAGCUUGAAACGUUCUGAAUCUCUGAAUUCUUCUAAUUUUUUCCCUGAAAUGUUUUGUAAAGGCUGUUACAUUUUGUAAAGAUUUGGAUGCUGUUUUGUAAGUUUGCAUUUUGGUGAUUCAUUAAUCCCAAAUGUCUAAAUCUUCCGAAAUAUGAAUCGGCCUCUGAAAUUUUGCACAAUCUUAUUAUUUAUUCAACCUGGUAGGGAAAGACCAAUGUGCUUGGAGGCUCUUUGCUAAGCUUGUGCAUUUCAGGUGAAUCAUGAUCUGUUUCUGCUUG